rnacentral:tRNA from 1 species
AAUGAGGUGUCUGAUAAAAGAAUUAUUUUGAUAGAAUAAAAAAUGUAAUAAAAUUACCCUCAUUA